rnacentral:rRNA from 1 species
GACGGAGGGCGCUAGCGUUGUUCGGAAUCACUGGGCGUAAAGGGCGCGUAGGCGGCCAGGUAAGUCGGGGGUGAAAGCCCGGGGCUCAACCGCGGAGUGGCCUUCGAGACUGCGUGGCUGGAGACCGGGAGAGGAGAGUGGAAUUCCCAGUGUAGAGGUGAAAUUCGUAGAUAUUGGGAGGAACACCAGUGGCGAAGGCGGCUCACUGGCCCGGAACUGACGCUGAGGCGCGAAAGCGUGGGGAGCAAACAGG